UGGUGAAUAUUGGACAAUGGGCGAAAGCCUGAUCCAGCCAUGCCGCGUGUGUGAAGACGGUCUUCGGAUUGUAAAGCACUUUAAGUUGGGAGGAAGGGCAGUAAGCGAAUACCUUGCUGUUUUGACGUUACCGACAGAAUAAGCACCGGCUAACUCUGUGCCAGCAGCCGCGGUAAUACAGAGGGUGCAAGCGUUAAUCGGAAUUACUGGGCGUAAAGCGCGCGUAGGUGGUUCGUUAAGUUGAAUGUGAAAGCCCCGGGCUCAACCAGGGGACUGCAUCCAAAACUGGCGAGCUAGAGUAGGGCAGAGGGUGGUGGAAGUUCCUGUGUAGCGGUGAAAUGCGUAGAUAUAGGAAGGAACACCAGUGGCGAAGGCGACCACCUGGGCUCAUACUGACACUGAGGUGCGAAAGCGUGGGGAGCAAACAGG
rnacentral:rRNA from 1 species